rnacentral:lncRNA from 1 species
AUUCAUAAUUGGAAACUGUGACUACAUUUGGCAUUAUAUGAGGGGCAGCUUUUUUCCUCAUCUGAAAAAGGAGUCUCUUUUCUUCCCCCUGGGAAUAUCUCUGGUUAGAGCAGCCAGCGGGUACAGAAUGGAUUUUGGAAGAGGGAGUCACCACUGGACCUCCAAGGAAGCCACGUGCAGACAUCUACAACCUUCGAUCUCCUGACGAAUUUUGCCUGCCUGAGCUCCUCUAGUAGUGGCCACAAUUGCCAGAGAAGAUAGAGCAGGUCUCUCCCAGGACUUGCAGCUCCAGCCUGUGUCUGCAAGGGGUGUUGUAGCGACUGAUUUCUCCAGCCCAUGGCAAGAGGCCUUCAUCUUGUGCCUGGAAAGAGGGAAGUACAAGUCCGUCUGGCAGAGAUGGUGCAGAUGGGCAAGUUUUUCAGACACUGCAGCCAGCACUUCUGGGACCGCAGCAGUGGAGCCUGCAGAGGGCCGGUUCUCCAGGCAUGGGCUACUGACAUUGUCACUUCCAGACUCCUUAUGCAAUAAACAAC